GAUGAACGCUGGCGGCGUGCUUAAUACAUGCAAGUCGAACGGAAAGGCGCUGAUUUUGUGGGGCGCACGUUUGGCGAACGGGUGAGUAUCACGUGAGUAACACGCCCUUGUCUUUGGGAUAACUUCUGGGAACUGGGGAUAUUAUCGGAUAGGAGCUAUUGCUGCAUGGGGUGGGUUGGUAAGUUUCGGUGGUUGGGGAUGGACUCGAGGGUUACGAGCUUGUUAGUGGGGUAGUGGCUUACCAAGGCUUUGAAGGGUAGCCGACCUGGGAGGGUGACCGGCGACAAGAGGACUGAGAUACGGCGCAGAAUCCUACGUGAGGCAGCAGUGGAGAGUAUGGCGCAGUAGGCCGAAGCCUGUUACAGCAACGCCGCGAGCGUGAUGACGGCCUUCUGGUUAUAAACCACUGUCGCCUUUAACAAACCGUUAGUGACGGUAAUGGAUAAAAAAGCAACGGCUAACUACGUG
rnacentral:rRNA from 1 species